rnacentral:rRNA from 1 species
AGCAGCCGCGGUAAUUCCAGCUCCAAUAGCAUAUAUUAAAGUUGCUGCGGUUAAAAAGCUCGUAGUUGAAUUUCGGGACUAAUAUGUCGGUCGUGCCUCGGUACGUACUGGUAUUUUUGGUUUCUCCCUUCUGACGAACCUUGAUGUCAUUAAUUUGGUGUCUUGGGAAAUCAGGACUGUUACUUUGAAAAAAUUAGAGUGUUUAAAGCAGGCUCACGCUUGAAUACAUUAGCAUGGAAUAAUGAAAUAGGACGUUUGAUUCUAUUUUGUUGGUUUCUAGGAUCGACGUAAUGAUUAAUAGGGAUAGUUGGGGGCAUUAGUAUUCAAUUGUCAGAGGUGAAAUUCUUGGAUUUAUUGAAGACUAACUACUGCGAAAGCAUUUGCCAAGGAUGUUUUCAUUAAUCAAGAACGAAAGUUAGGGGAUCGAAGACGAUCAGAUACCGUCGUAGUCUUAACCAUAAACUAUGCCGACUAGGGAUCGGAUGAUGUUAAUUUUUUUAAUGACUCAUUCGGCGCCUUA